UGAUGAAUAGGGUUCUACAAUAUUCUUGUCAUUUUCAUAUAAGGCAAAGCACAUUCAGAUUAGAUCAUACAUGUAAUUGAGUUAUUUUUGUCUACAAUAAUAGUAUUGGACUAUUUUUGUCUACAAUAAUAGUCCAAUACUCCAAUACAUAAAACAUAUAAAACUCAUUACAAGGCCAAUAAGCUACAUUCGUUUGGAGAAGAACAAAGUGAAAAAAAUCAAACAUACAUUAAAG
rnacentral:lncRNA from 1 species